rnacentral:rRNA from 1 species
GGACGAACGCUAGGCGGCGUGCUUAACACAUGCAAGUCGAGCGGUAAGGCCCUUUCGGGGUACACGAGCGGCGAACGGGUGAGUAACACGUGGUGACCUGCCCUUAGCUCUGGGAUAAGCCUGGGAAACUGGGUCUAAUACCGGAUAUGACUCCAUGACGCAUGUUGUGGGGUGAAAGCCUUGUGCGGCUAGGGAUGGGCCCG